UUUUAGAAGUUCUUCUUUAGAAUGUUUUUUUGUAUCUGCUACUUUGAAAAGUCAGAAGAAAACACUAUGGGUCUGCCUCCAUUUCAGUAAAGCUAAAGUAUUGAAAAAUUUAAGAAGAGAAGUAGAAGAGGAAGAUGGAUUAAAGGAAGUCAUAUGGAUUGCUUGAGGUGACGAGUUUGGUAAUUCGGCAUGAGUACAGUGAUAUUGGUGUGGAUUCGUUAGAUAGAGGUAGAGAGUUGAUUCCAUGGUGAGUCCCGCACUUGUUCGAGUGGGAACAAGUUAUCUACUUACUUGGACCUUUCUUCGAAUUCUUAGAGUCGCUCUAUAGUCAUUUAUUCUAUAAGGGUCAUGAGUAUUCUUUGUGUUGUAGCCUAUGGUAAGUUUUAGACUUCUUUUCAUAUUUGGAGAUGUAUUGGUAUUAUUGUGUUGCGACUAGAUUGUCGAUGGAUAUUGUAGCUUAAUGUGAAGAGGUUGUUAGUUGUGUUGUGGAUAUUUGAGACAGCAAAAAUUUG